GGGGACGUUUUGGUCUUGACAGGGCGGUUCGCAUAAUCAGGCUGCGAGUCGGAGUGCUGUUCUCCGUUACAAACAAGCAAAAAACAAUAAAUGGCAAAUCUAAUGUCAUCAAUGCCGAAUUCGCUUUUGCUCCGGCAAUGGCUGCUUAAUCGAACUUAAGCAUCGGCCACUGAAUAAUCCCUGCCGGUCGGAUUAUUCGGUCAACCAUACCGGCUGCGUGCGUUCUAUGAGAGUAUGUGCGCAUUAAGCUUUCUCUCAAGCCGGGCACGGUUAAAUUGCUCAGCCCAUAGUUAGGAGUCGGUUGUAUCCGUCUUUGGGUGAAAUCAAUUUAUAACCUACGCUCGUAGACGUCUAAUUAUGUCCGUUUUGGACGCGGGUUCGAUUCCCGCCGUCUCCA
rnacentral:tmRNA from 1 species